ACGGCUCAGUAACACGUGGACAACUUACCCAAGAGUCCGGGAUAACCCCGGGAAACUGGGGAUAAUACCGGAUAGAUCAUCUUUGCUGGAAGGCUUGGUGGUUGAAACUUCCGGGGCUUUUGGAUGGGUCUGCGGCUGAUUAGGUUGUUGCCGGUGUAACGUACCGUCAAGCCUGUAAUCAGUACGGGUUGUGGGAGCAAGAGCCCGGAGAUGGAUUCUGAGACACGAAUCCAGGCCCUACGGGGCGCAGCAGGCGCGAAAACUCUACAAUGCAGGCAACUGCGAUAGGGGAACAUCGAGUGAUCCUCAUAUUGGGGGUCUGUCCACCUGUCUAAAAAACGGGUGUUAGCAAGGGCCGGGCAAGACCGGUGCCAGCCGCCGCGGUAAUACCGGCGGCUCGAGUGGUGGCCGAUAUUAUUGAGUCUAAAGGGUCCGUAGCCGGCUUUGCAAGUCUCUCGGGAAAUCCAGCGGCUUAACCGUUGGUCGUCCGGGGGGUACUACAUUGCUUGGGACUGGGAGAGGUAGGAGGUACUCAGGGGGUAGGAGUGAAAUCCUGUAAUCCUUUGGGGACCACCGGUGGCGAAGGCGUCCUACCAGAACAGGUCCGACGGUGAGGGACGAAAGCUAGGGGCACGAACCGGAUUAGAUACCCGGGUAGUCCUAGCCGUAAACGAUGCUCGCUAGGUGUCACAACAGUCGUGAAUUGUUGUGGUGCCGUAGGGAAGCCGUGAAGCGAGCCACUUGGGAAGUACGACCGCAAGGUUGAAACUUAAAGGAAUUGGCGGGGGAGCA
rnacentral:rRNA from 1 species